rnacentral:rRNA from 1 species
CAGACGGGAGGCAGCAGGAGGGAAUCUGUAACAAUGGGAGAAAGAAGGAGGGAGAAAAGAAGAGGGGGGGAAGAAGGUCUUCGGAUCGUAAAACCCUGUUGUUAGAGAAGAAAGUGCGUGAGAGUAACUGUUCACGUUUCGACGGUAUCUAACCAGAAAGCCACGGCUAACUACGUGCCAGCAGCCGCGGUAAUACGUAGGUGGCAAGCGUUAUCCGGAUUUAUUGGGCGUAAAGGGAACGCAGGCGGUCUUUUAAGUCUGAUGUGAAAGCCUUCGGCUUAACCGGAGUAGUGCAUUGGAAACUGGGAGACUUGAGUGCAGAAGAGGAGAGUGGAACUCCAUGUGUAGCGGUGAAAUGCGUAGAUAUAUGGAAGAACACCAGUGGCGAAAGCGGCUCUCUGGUCUGUAACUGACGCUGAGGUUCGAAAGCGUGGGUAGCAAACAGGAUUAGAUACCCCUGUAGUC